GAUGAACGUUGGCGGCGUGCUUAACACAUGCAAGUCGAACGCAGAUAGCAAUAUUUGAGUGGCGCACGGGUGAGUAACACGUAGCUUACCUACCCUGAAGAGUGGGAUAACGGUUCGAAAGAGCUGCUAAUACCGCAUAAGCUCACGAGCUCUAGAGGCUUGGGAGAAAACGGGGAAACUCGCUUCAGGAGGGGGCUGCGGCCCAUCAGCUAGUUGGUGAGGAAAGGCUUACCAAGGCGACGACGGGUAGGGGACCUGAGAGGGUCGACCCCC
rnacentral:rRNA from 1 species